ACAGCAUUGUACACAGCUGCUAUCAUUUACUGUAGCAGAAAUACAUCAGAAAGUAGGUGUUCUAUAUGUAACACACACUUUCUGGUGAAUUGGUACCUACCAGCUGAAACCCCACAUUAGUUAUAGACUAUAACUCAUGUACGUUUACUUUCCCCUGGACAAGAGACACAGUUGUCCUGUGUCCUCUGUGAGGACACCGCCAGCUUUGGCCUCACCUCCUUCUUCACGACUUCACCCAGCCCAGCACGACUGUCCAGAACAAGACUAACAGCCAACCAAGAACAACAAGAACCAAGAACAGAUGCUUCAGCAGCAGCAGCAGCUUAACUGUCAAUCAACAAUGGACGGACAAUGGCCAGACAAUCACUGUUAGACUACACAGGGACACCUUUACCUUCAUGCUAGCAGAGGAUGAGAUAACGCCUGCCUGCCUUUGCUUCACCUUCUCUCUAGUUGGACCACCACUGCCUGCUUUCCACCUGACAGCGCUGAAGAGUCUUCACAACAGAAGGUCUGCCUCUGCUGUGAUCACUCCGCUUCACACAGUGGAGACAAUCAAGACUUUAAAGAAGGCUAAACAUGACAAUAAGCUGAACCUCAUUCAUCCUUCCUAAACUACUCUGCACUGGACAGAAAUGUUGUGUUGCCCUGCAGCAGUGUUCAAGGACCCGCUUCAUUCUCCUAUGUCCACAGCUUCGCAUCAAAUGCUGUCCACAGUUCAGUAAAGCCUAACUUCUGUUGACGUUGGCGAGUGAUCAGGUGAACUGAUGCGGGGAACCAAACUUACGCUGAUCAUUCAUUUACUCAUCACUAUCACAGAGACAGCUCCUCCUUAGUGCAACCAAGUUGUAAAGGCCUCUGCUCCUGCCAUCUAAGG